rnacentral:rRNA from 1 species
AACGAACGCUGGCGGCAGGCCUAACACAUGCAAGUCGAGCGGACCCUUCGGGGUUAGCGGCGGACGGGUGAGUAACGCGUGGGAAUAUGCCCUUCUCUACGGAAUAGUCCUGGGAAACUGGGGGUAAUACCGUAUACGCCCUUUUGGGGAAAGAUUUAUCGGGGAAGGAUUAGCCCGCGUUGGAUUAGGUAGUUGGUGGGGUAAUGGCCUACCAAGCCGACGAUCCAUAGCUGGUUUGAGAGGAUGAUCAGCCACACUGGGACUGAGACACGGCCCAGACUCCUACGGGAGGCAGCAGUGGGGAAUCUUAGACAAUGGGGGCAACCCUGAUCUAGCCAUGCCGCGUGAGUGAUGAAGGCCUUAGGGUUGUAAAGCUCUUUCAGCUGGGAAGAUAAUGACGGUACCAGCAGAAGAAGCCCCGGCUAACUCCGUG